GCAGAUAUGUUGCCCUUGGUAUACAAGGAAUAUGCCCACAAUAGGGUUGGAUUUAAAAGUCUUCAAAGCUUUGGUCUCUCUUUCUUCCAUUUUCCUCUGAUACAGAAUGAAUCAUCUCCCACCUCCCGACCCUCCUCUACACCCCCACCACUUCAUAAUAGAGAUUUAAAGGGAAUUUAAAUUUGAGUUCUUGAGCUACUGCUCAAGGGCUAGGUCUUUGAGCAAGUUACUAUCAGAGCCUUAGUUCUUCACCUAUAAAGCAGGUUUAAUACGUACCUUACAACAUUGAGGAUUAAAGAGCAUGUGAGGAUUACUUUAUGAAAGAUGAAGCUUAGAACAGAAUUUUUAGUUCCUUGCCAAUCCUUAAAACAAAAAAACAAAAAACACCUUUUUCAGAAAUUGCUUUAUUAGUCUUUUGUACAAAGGGAACAUCUUUAAUUUCUUUAAAUUUGGGCAUAUAUGUAUUGUGAAAUUUUAACCAAGCUGGAGGGGUCACUAGGGAGCCUUGAGUAUGAUACUAUUGCUAUAACUCUUAGACAGGCUGGCUCAGGAGGGUACUGACUUGCUUUGACUUUGUGGCAACUUAAGUUGCCCAGUGAAAAUCACUUGCUGUGUACACCACUUUGUUUCUCAUACCUUAAAUUGUAGAUUAAAAAUAUUUGGGUCAGGCCUGGAAGCUCAUGUCUGUAAUCCCAGCACUUUGGGAGGCUGAGAUGGGCAGAUCACCUGAGCCCAGGAGUUCAAGAUCAGCCUGGGCAAUGUGGGAAAGACCUGUCUCAACAAAAAAUACAAAAAUUAGUGUCUUGGUGCACGCCUGUAGUCCCAGGUAGUUAGGAGGCUGAGGUGGAAGGAUUGCUUGAGCCCCAGGAGGUGGAGGUUGCAGUGAGCUGUAAGCAUGCCACUGUACCUGCUCCAUCUUGGGCAACAGAGUGAGACUCUGUCUCAAAAAAAAAAAAUAAUAAUUAUCAUCUUUGGCAGUGAUUAAGUUUCCCCUUUCACACUUGGGAUGGUGCAAUGUUUGGCAGUCUACUUAGGAAGCUAAAAAUUUCCUGUUUAAUUAUAAAUGGAAAAGUUUAGGUUGCCAUAUUCAUUCAUACAAACAUUCAGAAAGUGAAUAUCUGUUGUUAGACACAGAUGAACAAGACAGACCCACAUGCCUCUCAGGAUCAACUUUGAAAUUAGUAAGUUGUAGGUAUAUAUUAGUCACUUCCUCUGUUGAGAUUUUUCAUUAGGCCUCAAUACAAAGGCACCUGUCAUAUAACAUGAAUAGGAACUGGAGGUACUUUCUGGCAGUUAAUAUUUCACUAUCAGUGCAAGAGAGUAACGUCUCCAUUUAGUCCCAAUCCAGAGUCCCCCCCACUCCCUAAAGAAAUUAGAGACCCAGGACCUUGGAUUUCCAAACUCUUAUUACUUAAAUGUUACGAAAAAUGGUUUUUUAGUAUACCCAUGUACCCAUUAAACCUUUUCUCCUGAAAUAGGCAAAAAGAUUAAGUUCUGUAUUUUUAUUUUCCGUUUUCUUUUUGUAUCAGACACCUGUGUUGCUUGAAUUUUAGAAAAAUAGUUUUCACAUUUCCUAAACAGGUAGAUUGUCAGAAUGACUAGAAAUGUUCACAUUCUAUGUGACAAAUCGUGACAGUAGCUAAUUCAAGUAUUUGAAGUAAUAAAUCCUUGAACUGAAUUGAUUGAAAUAAAGAAUUUGAAAUCACCAUCUUCACAUAUUU